CUUUAAAGUGUCAAAACAGCACCUCUCGAUUUUGUAAACAUGUUUCCACGUGGAAGGGAGUAGUUGUGAUAGUCAAGAUUAACCCACAUACAUUGAUUUAGUAAACAAAAACACUCGUAAAGUACAUUUUGAACAGCCAUCUCAAGGAUAUACUCUGAAGACAGUGAUGUGCAAGUUCAAGGUUUGCCUGUUCAGAUACUUUAAUAAUAAAGAAUGGGUGAAAAAAUUCUCACGUUAUUAUGCUGCAUAAUAGUACAUUUCAGCUGUAACAAAACAAAUUAUCUGAUGAAAGCUUCAACCACGAGAAUCUAGGAAAGGAUGUCAAGUCCAAAGAGAAGGCCAUAUAACAAAUGGUUGCUGAAUUCAUGAAGACUAGCUGGGAUGAUACAGUACUUUUCUACUCAUAUGAACCAUAUCUAAACAUCAUUUGAGGAUCCCUUCUCAGAAAAAA